GUAGUCAUAUGCUUGUCUCAAAGAUUAAGCCAUGCAUGUCUAAGUAUAAGCACUCAUACUGUGAAACUGCGAAUGGCUCAUUAAAUCAGUUAUCGUUUAUUUGAUAGUACCUUACUACUUGGAUACCCGUGGUAAUUCUAGAGCUAAUACAUGCUAAAAACCCCGACUUCGGAAGGGGUGUGUUUAUUAGAUAAAAAACCAAUGCCCUUCGGGGCUGCUUGGUGAUUCAUGAUAACCAAACGAAUCGCAUGGCCUUGCGCCGGCGAUGGUUCAUUCAAAUUUCUGCCCUAUCAACUUUCGAUGGUAGGAUCUGGGCCUACCAUGGUAUCAACGGGUAACGGGGAAU
rnacentral:rRNA from 1 species